rnacentral:rRNA from 1 species
UGGUGGAUGCCUUGACUGGUAAAGGCGAUGAAGGACGUACUAGACUGCGAUAAGCUACGGGGAGCUGUCAAGAAGCUUUGAUCCGUAGAUUUCCGAAUGGGGCAACCCAAUGUAUAGAGAUAUACAUUACCUAUAUAGGAGCGAACGAGGGGAAUUGAAACAUCUUAGUACCCUCAGGAAAAGAAAUCAAUAGAGAUUGCGUCAGUAGCGGCGAGCGAAAGCGCAAGAGGGCAAACCCAGUGCUUGCACUGGGGGUUGUAGGACUGCAAUGUGCAAGAGGUAAGUUUAG